rnacentral:rRNA from 1 species
CCUACGGGAGGCAGCAGUAAGGAAUAUUGGACAAUGGUGGCAACACUGAUCCAGCCAUGCCGCGUGCAGGAUGACGGUUCUAUGAAUUGUAAACUGCUUUUAUACGGGAAAAACCCUCAAGACGUGAUUUUGAGCUGAUUGUACCGUAAGAAUAAGGAUCGGCUAACUUCGUGCCAGCAGCCGCGGUAAGACGAAGGAUCCAAGCGUUAUCCGGAUUUAUUGGGUUUAAAGGGUGCGUAGGCGGACUCAUAAGUCAGUGGUGAAAUCCCAAAGCUUAACUUUGGAACUGCCAUUGAUACUGUAAGUCUUGAGUAUGUUUGAAGUGGGCGGAAUGUAUUGUGUAGCGGUGAAAUGCUUAGAUAUAAUACAGAACACCAAUUGCGAAGGCAGCUCACUAAACCAUAACUGACGCUGAGGCACGAAAGCAUGGGGAGCAAACAGGAUUAGAUACCCUGGUAGUCCAUGCCCUAAACGAUGAAUACUCGAUAUGUGCCGAUAUACAGUACGUGUCUAAGCGAAAGCAUUAAGAUUCCACCUGGGGAGUACGCUCGCAAAGAGUAGAAACUGAAAGAUUGACGAGAGAGAGNGCGAGGACGACGACGAGGGAGAGG